rnacentral:rRNA from 1 species
CAGCCGCCGCGGUAAUACCAGCCCCGCGAGUGGUCGGGACGAUUAUUGGGCCUAAAGCGUCCGUAGCCGGGCUGGUAAGUCCUCCGGGAAAUCUGGUCGCUUAACGAUCAGACUUCCGGAGGAUACUGCUGGCCUAGGGACCGGGAGAGGCCGAGGGUAUUCCCGGGGUAGGGGUGAAAUCCUGUAAUCCCGGGAGGACCACCUGUGGCGAAGGCGCUCGGCUGGAACGGGUCCGACGGUGAGGGACGAAGGCCAGGGGAGCGAACCGGAUUAGAUACCCGGGUAGUCCUGGCUGUAAACGAUGCGGACUAGGUGUCGGGCAAGCUAAGGGCUUGUCCGGUGCCGCAGGGAAGCCGUUAAGUCCGCCGCCUGGGGAGUACGGCCGCAAGGCUGAAACUUAAAGGAAUUGGCGGG